GAUGAACGCUGGCGGCGUGCCUAAUACAUGCAAGUCGAGCGAACAGAUAAGGAGCUUGCUCCUUUGACGUUAGCGGCGGACGGGUGAGUAACACGUGGAUAACCUACCUAUAAGACUGGGAUAACUUCGGGAAACCGGAGCUAAUACCGGAUAACAUAUUGAACCGCAUGGUUCAAUAGUGAAAGGCGGCUUUGCUGUCACUUAUAGAUGGAUCCGCGCCGUAUUAGCUAGUUGGUAAGGUAACGGCUUACCAAGGCAACGAUACGUAGCCGACCUGAGAGGGUGAUCGGCCACACUGGAACUGAGACACGGUCCAGACUCCUACGGGAGGCAGCAGUAGGGAAUCUUCCGCAAUGGGCGAAAGCCUGACGGAGCAACGCCGCGUGAGUGAUGAAGGUCUUCGGAUCGUAAAACUCUGUUAUCAGGGAAGAACAAAUGUGUAAGUAACUGUGCACAGCUUGACAGUACCUGAUCAGAAAGCCACGGCUAACUACGUG
rnacentral:rRNA from 1 species